rnacentral:rRNA from 1 species
UACGUAGGGUGCAAGCGUUGUCCGGAAUUAUUGGGCGUAAAGAGCUCGUAGGCGGUUUGUUGCGUCGGCUGUGAAAUCCCGAGGCUCAAAUCCGUCGGGUCUCGCGAGUCAUGACGAGCAAACUAGAGUGUUGCAGGGGAGACUGGAAUUCCUGGUGUAGCGGUGAAAUGCGCAGAUAUCAGGAGGAACACCGGUGGCGAAGGCGGGUCUCUGGGCAACAACUGACGCUGGAGGAAGCGAAAGCGUGGGGAGCGAACAGG